rnacentral:rRNA from 1 species
AACGAACGCUGGCGGCAUGCCUAACACAUGCAAGUCGAACGGGACCUCCGUGUUUGCUGGCUCACGGGGGCGUAACGUGGGGGAACCUGCCCUUAUGUUCGGCAUAAUACCCUGAAAGGGGUGCUAAUAACGGGUAAUUUCUUCGGAUAAUAGAUUUUUCGCCUUUGGAUGGGCGCGCGUUGGAUUAGCGAGUCGGUAGGGUAAAAGCCUACCAAGGCGACGAUCGAUAGCUGGGCUGAGAGGAUGCUCAGCGACACUGGGACUGAGGCGCGGCCCAGACUACUACGGGAGGCAGCAGAGGGGAAUAUUGGACAAUGGGCGAAAGCCUGAUGCAGCAAUGCCGCGUAAGUGAUGAAGGCCGUAGAGUUGUAAAGCUCUUUUACCCGGGAUGAUAGUGACAGUACCGGGAGAAUAAGCACCGGCUAACUCCGUG